rnacentral:lncRNA from 1 species
CGCGGUGCACAGAAAGGUGCUGACCCUUAGUAGGAUCGUUACUUUCAGUGAGAUUUCAGCAACAUGUUUUCUUUGUAGCCUGGAAUCCCAAAGCAGAGCUAUUGAGGGACAGCAGAUCCCAGUGCUGCCUGCUAAUUAGGAGCCCUACAAAUGUAGGUCACAAAAACAAAAGCAAUGCUUUUCCGGGAGAAGACAAAUGUGUGAUUUGUGAAUGAAAAGCCAGGAAGUUUUAAAAGUGAAACAGAAGUAAAUUCAAUCAGGCUCUUCUUACAAAUGAAAGCAGUGAAAACUCUCAGCCUUUAGCAUUGAAAAGUAGAGAAGAUUUUAUUAACCCUUUGGUCUUCGAGAUAAACUGAAACUACAGCCAAUUAACAUUAAAAAUAUGUUUUCCAGUGCUUACUAAAGUGAGGAAUUUGUUUUAGAAAUAUCAAACAAUCACAGAGCCAACCAUUAUAUAGAAGAAAUAGGAAAAUAGAGGUAUAAUAGUCUCUUGUUCCCCUCAUUGACAUUAAUCCACACUUUGCUAAGUACAGCUGUAGUCUGGCUCCCUUGUUCAGUACAAGACACACUUCAAACCUGUCACUGAUUAUUUAAGUUCUUCCAAUUUGCUUUAAUUGUGGAAUAUGUUUUAGGUUAGUUAAGCACUUUCACAUGUGAAGAUCCUUCCUUGGGAGAAAGCUACGCUGCCUGGACUUAUCCAAACUCAGACACCUGAGCAAGAUGUGUCCACAGCUGGAACAUCUGGUCUGACUAGUCACGACUCACAGCUUUGCCCCUUGGAAGUGACUUGGGUCACCCAAGACCUGAGCUGCAGUCAUAGGGUGCCUCUCCCUCUGAAUUGAAAAUGUUGAGAGCCCACAGCAUCCAAGCCCCACAAUGAAAAGGCUCAAACAGAUGCAUGGAGUGCAGUGUCCUGGAUUAAAGCAGAACCUGAGCAGCUUUGUCCCAAAGAUUUCUAAAAACUCAGCUCUAGGCACUGCAGAUGAAGGCAAAGUCUCCAUAGAAGUGAAAUCCUAUUACACAAAUGGCUUAUCCAAAACUUUUUCAGAGGGAUCAGUAUCAUCAGCAAAGCCAGGUGAGAUCUGCCACUGCCAAAUAAUAGAACCUUGGUGGGCAGGUGUUCCACCAAGCUGGAUCGGCAGUCUCUGUCACACAGAGACUUCCAAAUAUUUAUUGGACAUUUACAAGUCAUUUCUUUUCUUCGAGUUGCAAUAA